CUGGCUCAGAGAAGUCGAUAACAACGUGGACACCGUCAUGAGUUUGGGACGGGCCGGAGCUAAUACCGGAUAAUAUAUUGAACCGCAUGGUUCAAUAGUGAAAGACGGUUUUGCUGUCACUUAUAGAUGGGUAAGGUAACGGCUUACCAAGGCAACGAUGCGUAGCCGACCUGAGAGGGUGAUCGGCCACACUGGAACUGAGACACGGUCCAGACUCCUACGGGAGGCAGCAGUAGGGAAUCUUCCGCAAUGGGCGAAAGCCUGACGGAGCAACGCCGCGUGAGUGAUGAAGGUCUUCGGAUCGUAAAACUCUGUUAUUAGGGAAGAACAAAUGUGUAAGUAACUAUGCACGUCUUGACGGUACCUAAUCAGAAAGCCACGGCUAACUACGUGCCAGCAGCCGCGGUAAUACGUAGGUGGCAAGCGUUAUCCGGAAUUAUUGGGCGUAAAGCGCGCGUAGGCGGUUUUUUAAGUCUGAUGUGAAAGCCCACGGCUCAACCGUGGAGGGUCAUUGGAAACUGGAAAACUUGAGUGCAGAAGAGGAAAGUGGAAUUCCAUGUGUAGCGGUGAAAUGCGCAGAGAUAUGGAGGAACACCAGUGGCGAAGGCGACUUUCUGGUCUGUAACUGACGCUGAUGUGCGAAAGCGUGGGGAUCAAACAGGAUUAGAUACCCUGGUAGUCCACGCCGUAAACGAUGAGUGCUAAGUGUUAGGGGGUUUCCGCCCCUUUAGUGCUGCAGCUAACGCAUUAAGCACUCCGCCUGGGGGAGUACGACCGCAAGGUUGAAACUCAAAGGAAUGACGGGGACCCGCACAAGCGGUGGAGCAUGUGGGUUUAAUUCGAAGCAACGCGAAGAACCUUACCAAAUCUUGACAUCCUCUGACCCCUCUAGAGAUAGAGUUUUCCCCUUCGGGGGACAGAGUGACAGGUGGUGCAUGGUUGUCGUCAGCUCGUGUCGUGAGAUGUUGGGUUAAGUCCCGCAACGAGCGCAACCCUUAAGCUUAGUUGCCAUCAUUAAGUUGGGCACUCUAAGUUGACUGCCGGUGACAAACCGGAGGAAGGUGGGGAUGACGUCAAAUUCCAUCAGGAUGUGCCCCUUAUGAUUGUGGGCUACACACGUGCUACAAAGUGGA
rnacentral:rRNA from 1 species